rnacentral:lncRNA from 10 species
UCUUAGUUGUUAGUUGUGGAGACAGGAUCUCACUCUUGCCCAGGCUGGAGUGCAGUGGCGUGAUCUUGGCUCAUGGCAGCCUCAACCCCCUGGGCUCAAGUGAUCCUCCCAUCUGGAGGAGGAAAUUUUGCCUGGGCCUCCCUUACUGUUCUCCUGGCCUGCAGGCUCCUGUUUUGAGAUAUUUCUAUACCCAGAACUGACCUGGUCCCUCCCCUGCUCUCAACCCUCUCAUGGCUCCCCAGCACCCUCCGGGGCAAAACCCAAACACCUCAGUAUGGUGUUCAGGGUUGAGACUCUCCAAUCUCACACGUCCCGAUGUCACAUUCAGACACCAC